GAUGAACGCUGGCGGCGUGCCUAAUACAUGCAAGUCGAGCGAACGGACGAGAAGCUUGCUUCUCUGAUGUUAGCGGCGGACGGGUGAGUAACACGUGGAUAACCUACCUAUAAGACUGGGAUAACUUCGGGAAACCGGAGCUAAUACCGGAUGAUAUUUUGAACCGCAUGGUUCAAACGUGAAAGACGGUCUUGCUGUCACUUAUAGAUGGAUCCGCGCUGCAUUAGCUAGUUGGUAAGGUAACGGCUUACCAAGGCAACGAUGCAUAGCCGACCUGAGAGGGUGAUCGGCCACCCUGGAACUGAGACACGGUCCAGACUCCUAAGGGAGGCAGCAGUAGGGAAUCUUCCGCAAUGGGCGAAAGCCUGACGGAGCAACGCCGCGUGAGUGAUGAAGGUCUUCGGAUCGUAAAACUCUGUUAUUAGGGAAGAACAUAUGUGUAAGUAACUGUGCACAUCUUGACGGUACCUAAUCAGAAAGCCACGGCUAACUACGUG
rnacentral:rRNA from 1 species